rnacentral:lncRNA from 1 species
ACUAUUAUAUUCAGAAUAUAUGUUCAUGUCUGAAUAAUCUUAGAAUCGAUAAAAGUGUCCGCUUAGAUUGUGUUUCUUGCUCAAAGAAGACUUGGAGAAUAAUGCAUGGAAGCAAAGGCUGGAGAUAUAGCUCUAGAGCGAGUAACUAAUCAUAGUAGGUAAUUUAGUAUGCCCUCUUAAAAUUUAUCUCUCGUCUUGAAGUUGUGCUCUCCAGUAAACAACCAUUUUGGUAACUGCAUUAACUUACUAAGAUAUUAGUCAACUGUAACCCUUUAGUUAACUUUAUUGACAAUUUAUGGAUGUUAGUUCAUAGGCAACAAACUCAGGGGCAUUGUACAUUUUGUGAUAGUAACAAGGACUUAACUAAGUCUCUGGGCCUGUCUACUUUAUAAAGCAUACAAGAAUGGAUAAUGUUUGCUUCCAUAUGGUUCAGACAUCGUCUCUGAAAGAUCUAAUUUAAUCGGACUAAUCAAUAUCUUUACUGAAAGUUGAGUACUGGCUAUGAGUUUGUUUGUUUCUUUGAUAAGAAAAGCAGAAAUACUAUACCAUGAAAGUCUGUUCUUAAUCAGCAAAGUACACAUCUUUCUUUUAUUGAUUAUUUUGUUGUCUAGUGCAUCAUACUUUGCAAUCUCUGGAUCACUAAGAAUUUGGCUUAUUUUUUGUCAAGACUGUAACAAAAGUGAGUGAAUUGUUGAGGAGUGUAAAUAUAACUAGUGCCAUAUCUGAAUAUGUUACCGUUGUCUACAAGGUGAUGUAUAUUUCAUUGUUGGUUCUCAUUAAUAUCGUACAUGGCUUUGUAGGGGAACACUAAUUCAUCCCAUGUAUGCUUGGAGGACGACACUACUGAUGACCGCAUCGAUAAUGGCAACACUGGAGGUCGCAAUGAUGGUGAGAACAUUGAUGAUAACAACUGUGCAUCCGGAGGAGGAUCUCACUAGUCCACCUGCACUUGGAACUAAUCAAUGACCACCUUAUGGUAUUUUGGAUCUCUCUGGUGGUACUACAUGCUCAUUAGCAAACUUAAUUAGGUGCUUACUAUUUGCUGCAAUUUGAUGGAUCUGAAUAGUGAAG